ACACACGCACACACAGUCCAGCCUCCCACCGGACACCUAACCUCAGUCCCCCCUGCAGCGCCAGGAGGAAUAAGUCAGGAGCUUUGACAACAGUGGUUCUCAAACUCCAGUGUGCCCCAGAAUCAACUGGAUGGUUUAUUAACACUGAUUGCUGGGCCUCAUCCUCAGAGAUACUGAUUCUGUAAGUAGAUCUUCGGUGGGGUCUAAGAGUCUGCAUUUUUAACAGGCUCUCAGGUGAUAUGACGCUGCUGGUCUGGGGACCACAUUUUGAGAACCAACAAUCUACAGAAUUACUUCCUAUAACUGGCAUGAUUAUUAAGUGAUGAUGAAUCUUUGGUAAGUAAAUUUUCCACACAAGUGAAGGUUGCCUCAGAUGCGACACUUUCAUUUUAAUUCCUUUUUGAUGAAAACUUUUCUAAAAUGUAUCAUUUUUAUUCUUAUAUAUGUGAACAAGGGGCUCUUAAAUACCACUUAGCUUUUCUUUUGACUGAAGUUAUCAAAUAAUUCCUCUUGGUUUCAGAAGGGAUAAAUAAGCAUGGUCUUUUGACUUAUGAACUUAUUAACCUGAGCAGUAUUUCCGGACUGUGUUCCUGAAGGGACAGUCAUAGAUCCUGAGAAGAGAUAGUAGUGAAACUUACAAGUCAGCACGAGUUCCCUGAGAAUAAGUAGGUAAAGCUAACUUUAUUUCUUUUAUUGUUAUGACUACUAGAUUGGUAAAUUGGAGAAAUGAUAUAGGCAUAGAUAUUGGACUAGCCAGGCUUACCAGGCAAUACCAAAAUGUGUUGAGUUGAUUAAUGGAUGGGUGCCAACCUGGGUAGAUAUUGCUUGUAGAGUGCCAGAGAGUUCUGUCUUUGGCUUUGUCUAAUUCUUUCUCAGUUAUUUGGAUGAGCCAGAACAUAACCCAUUCCCAUUCCUCAGGGGUAUGAAAACAUAGACAAGACCACUUGACAGACAAUAAAGAAAGGGUGUGAAGGACAGCCAGAGGAGACUUUGAGGGCCCAAACAAUCCAGAACUCUGAUUCUCUGAUAGUUAUGAUCACUUGAUUACCUGUUAUGAUACUGUAGUGUAAUAGCCAAAAUAGGUAUGUGACUGCCUUAGAGUUUGUGGUCUUUGCUGCCAGGAUGACAGCAAAUUAACCUUAAUUUUCAAGAACACAUCUCUUGCUGCUCAAUCAAAUUUUAUCCUUUCUCGUAUGUCUUCUUUCAACCUGCUCUUAGAUUGCUCUUUCAGCUCUACAAGGGUCUGUGAAACCAGAUAACUAGACUUGACAAGAAAUAUAAAUGCAACAAGAGUAAGCAGACCAAUGGAGAACAUAAGGGACCACUUGUUUGGAGUUUGGCUCUAGAGUCUCAGAGAGUGUUUUCUCUUACAUUUAUGUUCCAAAGGAAUGAAACGAUUCAAUCUUUGGCCUCCUGAGCUUUCAUAUGUUGGUAUAAGAGACUCAACUAUCUUCUACUCAAUUAUCAUUCACAUUUCAGAGAAAAUUGUAUUUAUUUUAUUGAAUGAUGACUUACCAAAAGGUUGCUACAAAUUAAUAGAAGAUGAAAUACAUAAUGCUGUAUAUUCUGCUCGAAUAUAUUCAUUGUUCAAUUAAAUAUGGUUGCAAGCACAAUAUUAAGACAACUGCCUUGUAUUCAUGUAUAUACACAUACCCUAUAAGCCCUGCUUUCUCAUUUGCUAUUGCCAAGGUGAUAGCUGUUAAUGACAGAUGGGAAAAUGUUUUAAAUAGAAAGGAAUUUGGAGGAAACUAAAAUAAAUCUCACUUUACUUCAUUAUUCCACAUCUUCUUUCCCUGAGUGGCAACAUAUUAAUGAGGACCCUCUUAACAAUACAUGAGUUUUAUUUGAUAGGCUGUCUGAUUUGCGCUUAUUUCCCAUAGGCAAUGGGUGUGUGUAGUCAAGUCCAGGUUAGGGUCAGACAGGUUUUUCAUUUAUCUUUUCUAAUGACCUGUAAAUGUUCCACUGACUUGGGCUUUUAUUUCGGAAGUAAACAUUUUGCUAACUAGUCAUGGGUCAUGUAGGCACAUUAACAACUCCCUGCUAAUUUAUCAUCAUUGCGUAGCUAACCUCCAGUAGGUAAACUAGGUCCUUUUUGCUCUCAUGAUUUUAUGAUGUUGGCAGUGGUAGUAAGUAUGCAUUACUUUGUCUCAUCCCCAACCUGAGAAAAUGAACCUUUUUACAGUCCUUUCAAUCUGAUCACACUAUUUUAAGUGCUGAUGUAUUCUGAAAAGAUGAAUUGUUUUAUGUUGCAAUGUUUCCACUGAGUAAUAGAGUAUCAUGUGGGUGAGGGAGGAAGAAGUAUAGAGUUACAAAUUUAAAUACACUGGCUCUCUAUUCAGAGACUUCCAUAUAAGGGAGCAAGGUGAUACUAUAAAAUAUUCAGAUGUAUUCUAGGGGUACUGUGUGUUUCCUAGAUUAUCAGUUUCCUUUGCUACAUUUCUGGGGACUAACUGCCAACAUAAGAAUUGUAGAUGAUUCAUAAUUAGUAAAUGUGCUUUUUUUUUCUUUGCAGCAAUAUUUGUAAAAAUAACCUUAUUUUUGGUACAUUUAUUUCUGUCUAUUGGGCAAUUUGUGAGAAAUAUAUUACUUGAAAUGUCAUGCUUCAGAAUUUUUUUCUUUUCAUCUAUUUUGAGGAAAACAUUAAGGUUCUGAUUUGAAUUGUUUUAGGAUAGAAAUGUAUUAAGUAACAUAUGUUAUUAAUAAGCUCCAUGUUUUUCUCUAUUCUCUAUAAGGUGCUAAAACAUGCCAGACAGCAGAUUCUUAAUCUAGAAAAUUAUUUAAGCAGCAGCAACAAAAUUCAAAUUUUCUGACAGCGGAAGGUAGAACAGAAAGUUCUCAACUGGGGAUGAUUCUGGCCCCUGGGGACAUUUGUGGAGACAUUUUUGGUUGCCUCAACCUGAGGGGGUCAGGGGAAGUGUGUUCUACUGGUAUCUAGUGGGUCGAGACCAGGGGUGCUGCUCAACUUCCUGCAGUGCAAAACACAGUGCUCACAAUAAGGAAUUACCCAGCCCAGAAUGUCAAUAGUGCUAAGACUGAGAAACCUGGGCCUACAACUGUUUUCAAUACAAAUACAAAUGAAAAUGAGGGAGGCAGUCUGAACUUUACACACUGGAUCAAGAUCCUUUUCAAAGGUGGAAAUAAAGCAACCCUAAAGGAGGAACUCCACCUAGGGUACAAGAAGAGAGGAAACGUUUUGUUCCUUUGUGUUCCGCAUGUCAUUAGGAAGUACACAUGGGUGGACUAUUACAUUACAGUGAAUCAUGACCAUGUGUUCAUUCUAAACAUUGUUGUAUUUGUUAUUCCUAACUUUAAUAAACUGUAAAAUCUGAA